GUUUGUUCAAUAACAGGAGACAAACAGAAACACAGAGGUGCUAUACAUUCCGAUGGAAAAUACAACAAAAGCAUCUCCCAUCAUUUUGGCGUGGCUCAGAUCAAGAGGAGAAUUUUAAGAAAGGUGAUGGUUGGGCACACACAAGAAGACAUAGAUCACAUGUGUCCAG